CUUGAACGCAGCUCGAUAGCAACUCAACAAGCACCAGCUGCUACUAAUUGCCAAUCAGCCUCCAUGCCUGUUUGCAACACUUUAACUAGUUGACUUGAACAGAGCUCCUCAACAAGCAUCAGCUCAUUGCUAAUCAGCCUCCACACCUGUCCUCACUCUCCUUAAUCACAACUACCGCCUUACUUAAACCUGGGGCGGCAGGUAGCCAGCCUAGUGGUUAAGAGCAAUGGGAUCAGUAACUGAUUCAACUAGGUGAAAAAUCUGUCGCGCUGCCCUUGAGCAAACCCUAAUUGGUCCUGUAAGACAUUCUGGAUAAGAGCAUCUGCUAAAUGAUUUAAAUUUUAAAUGUAAUCAUUAUUUCAAACAGUUUCUGUUGGAGAGAUUUAAGGACACUGCAUUACUGGCCUUAGGCUCUGCAUGGUCAAUCUGACAUUGCAGUGGCUGUACAGAAGUUGAAGAGCGCAUACGUCUUGUGCUUAGGAGCGCUGUCCUAAACAUCCAAUAAUUUCGUCUGCACCGCUUCACUCGUAGUGAUUCAGGGCUAAUCUUGAUAGCCAUCCAGCUAAUUACAAACAACUAGCUAAAAGACAAGACCUUACCUCAUCUGAGAUGUGGCGUCAGUUUCCUGGUGCUUGACGUAAGAGCUCACCCAAGAGCGCAUGAAGUAGGAGGACUGCACCGUUUUCCCACCAGCAUCCCAUCGCAAAUCUAACCAUUGCUCCCCAGAAAAACUAGCCUACAUUUAGGCUGUUUAUAUGUGUAUUUCACAUGUUGAGGUAGAAAUAGGAGUAUAAUGCUUGUACGGAUGUCAACUCCAAUACAUGUUCAUGUCAUUAAUCAACUGCAUUACAGGUUGUUGUUUUUUAACUACAGUUAACUACCAACACCUAUUUCUGUAUGCUAGCUAUGCUACCAGUUUAUACGAAUGGGAGUUAGCAUUUGUAGUCACUUUUAAAUCUGGAAAAACUUCUAAAUGUUACGCAUCAAAAACAGCCAAGUAUAUCCAAAUCGGAUUUUGACAAAUAUCCACUGUUAACGUGGAUUUAACGUUUAUUUAACUCCAUUGAUUUCUUUAUCGCAUCUAUCCCCAUUGUCUUCCCGAUCUCUUUCCAGUAGUUCAAACAAAUUGUCGUCUUUGAAAUCCCUAAACAAGGUAUCAUAAAGAUCUUUUUUCUGGUAGCCUUUCCUCAAAAUAAUCAAUUUAAGGUAGUGAGUUUCUGUUUAUACGAGAGUUUGUUUGUUUAUAAAGCAUGUAUCACCAUUACGUCCCCGAUCUCUUUCCAGGAGUUCAAACUAAUUUAGGUGUCUUUGAAAUGCCUACGCAAGGUAUCAAAUAUUGUUGUUUUUUUGUAAACUUGUUAUCCUUCCCACAAAAUUAUCCAUGUUUGUCAUGGAAGUGAAUUUGUUUUUUAUACAGGAUGUAAGCCCCCCCGCGUCUACCUUCAACCAAUCGUGUCAAUACAGAGCUAUAUGGAGCCCUCAGCAUUGUUACAAAAUGUGGAAGGCGCACAGCAAUGCUUGAUUUGGCCACAGCAAGCCUCUGGAGUCUUC
ensembl:lncRNA